rnacentral:tRNA from 1 species
GGGCCUAUAGCUCAGGUGGUUAGAGCGCACGCCUGAUAAGCGUGAGGGCCGUGGGUUCGAAUCCCAGCUAGGCCCACCA